AGCAUUAGAUUUAAAGUUACAACUUGAAAUCUUGAUAAAAGAGUAUUGUUUUCAGAAAGAAAACAAUUGCUUACCAUUUGCUGGCAAAUAUGGAAUUGGGAUCUUGCUUAAAAGUACUUGAUACCUUUUUCAUGGGAAACCUCAUUUCGCAUUCUUCUGCCAUUUUGAUUUACUUUAAUCGAAGUGUCAACCAUUUUUUUAGUCUGUAGACUGACAAAUUCAGGAUGAGUUUACUUCCAAGCAUUGACACAACAUACAUCUCCAUGUAAAGUCUUAAUUAACAUCAAUCCAUUUUAUGUAGGAGUCGAUUUUAAAUUUUUGCUUGACAAACGGAUAAGUUGAAUGGUUGAGUAUGGUUGUUGCCCAGCAGAUUCAAACAUUAUAGUUUUGGUCGCACCUAUUGCCCCUCAAAAUUUUGAGGGGCAAUAGACUUUUCCUAUAGUUUUUAUUAACAUUUACUAGACAGAAAAAAAUGUGUUGGUGAAAGUCGUCAAGAAUGCAGAUGAUUUAGUUAAUUUACUGUGGUAUCAACCUAAUCAAAAUCUUCAUAUGUGAAGUGCUUUCAGACUUCAUUGGUGCUGAAUUUUUGAGUAUAUUAUCACCAGAAUGUCAUACAAAAUAACUUGGGCAGAAAACAGAUACCUUUGGACAAUGGUUACACCAAGGGCAGUGAAUGCAUUUCUCUUUUCACCAUUGGUCAGCUGACUUGCCUUCCCAGUUGCAAUGAAGAAGAAUGAUUAGUCAAAAGUAUUAAAAGGUAUUGUGAUCAAUCAGAUAUUGAUUUCCUAGUUGCAUGACAACUGUGGAAGUUGUCAUACAACUAUACAGCUGUAUUCACCUGUUUGUUAACAAAGAAACAAGCAACAGUUAUGGUUCGUUUGGUUGGAGCCCUUUGUCAACAAAGGGAGAGAGGAUCAAGUCAAACGUAUCCGAAAGGUACGGGGUUACAAGAUGGAAGCUUAGCCACGGUUUAUUGUCAAACAAAUAGACACGGCUAUCGGAGCCCUUUGUGCGCAGGGCAUUUGACGAACCGGGCACUCAAAUGACGCUAAAGACUUUUCACUUUGCUCGUGUGGCACCGAUGAACAUCACACAGGUAGUUUCUAGGAACUUUCUGGAUUAAGGAAAUCAUUAACGCCCUAAAGGCCUUUAGUACACCUGUUAUCUCCACCCAGCUUCUAAUUGUUGACGACCCGGAAUACGCGCGACAAGUUAAAGGAAGGAUCGAAAACAAUUUUCGGAGAAAUAAAUUAAACAAUUUUUCGUUAUCAAUAUUUUUCAAUUGUCUUUUUAUGUGACGGGAUAUUUCGAUGAAGUAUAACUGCCUGAUGAUGUUUAAUGUCAAUUAAAUUAGACAUUAACCGAAUCCGCUUGCUAAAGCUCGAGGUGGCUGCAAAUUCUAUCCAGUAGAGCCUCUGUAUACAUGUAAACUGAAAAUAAAGCCUGCUUUCAUCGAAGUCAUUAGUGAAACAAUACAAAUUGUAAAGCUGUGCUCCAUCUGCAAAAUCGUCAAUGUAUCUGUGAGGCAGUACCUCAAAGAACAAUUGCCUAGGGACUUCAUACAGGGUUUGCCAACUGCUAGCCGAGCUGUCAUCAACAUCGACGAUACAAGGAAACCGCAUAGAUAGUGUGUUUAUCUGUUAACUGCUUCAAAUUGGCUCAGAAUUAGGCAGCAAUUUUGGAAGUUGUUGCUUUCUCAGUAUGAAUGAGCUUCAAUGUUGGUGUUGCAGGUGUUACCCAUGUUACGUUGACUGUUUGGAUUCCUAUUCAUUAACAUUUCAAAACCAAAUUCAUCUUCUUAAAAUUGACUUGUAAGGAUUUGGAUCAUUCUAGGAACAUAUCUAUCAAAGAUGCAAAGCUCUAAUGGGAUUAAUUUAUCCGUCAAGUACGUUUUCAUUUGCAGUCUGUAUGUCCUUUCCGAAGCCUCUGCCAGAAGAAUAUGCUAAAUAAUGAAUUUAUGAAUCGCGUAAGUUAUACGAGCAAGAAUUUUUAUGCCUAACGAUGUUUUAUUUUCUUAAUAUAGAUUAAUGAUAAACUUGGAUCUGAAAAGGUUCCUUGGUUGGGGCGAGAUAUCGAAUAAAGUUUAAUGAUUGGAUGCACUA